rnacentral:rRNA from 1 species
AACAGAGGGUGCGAGCGUUGUUCGGAAUUACUGGGCGUAAAGCGCGCGCAGGCGGAUCCUGCAAGUCCGGAGUGAAAUCUCACCGCUCAACGGUGAGGCUGCUUUGGAUACUGCGGAUCUGGAGACCGGUAGAGGCUGGUAGAAUUGCAGGUGUAGCGGUGGAAUGCGUAGAUAUCUGGAGGAACACCGGUGGCGAAGGCGGCAUCCUGGACCGAGAUUGACGCUGAGGCGCGAAAGCUAGGGGAGCAAACAGG